rnacentral:lncRNA from 1 species
AAAAAAAAAAAAAAAAGGUAAGUGAAAAGAGUGAACUUGAACCACCUAAGGAAAUGGUAUAGCACGCGAUGAAAGGGCUACAAAGAGAGGGGUAUAUUAAACAACGUGAUGAUUAAGGUUGAGUUUAGUUAACCAUGGUUGGGUUAAGCAUUUUUCUUUUACAAUGCUGGGGGAAUAUCUUCCUAGUUCCAAACUCUCGGCACGAGCGUCUCCGUGUUUCCGCUUCCUUUUUUCUUGUUUUCAUGUGCACCGUUGGAUUCCACCCUUUCAUUAAUGUGGAUCGUUCGAUUGGUUUAGUCCAUCCAAUUUCUCAACCUUUUCUGUACUUCCAUUAAGUACGAGUUAUUAAAAGUACUAAGCCGAUCGAUUAUUUAGAUCUCUCUUCCUAAAAGCUAUCUUUUAAUUUAAUUGAUUGAUUUUUUUUUUGUAAAAAAUAUUUAUUUAAUAAUUUGAUUCAUGAAUUAUUGUCAAAUGAGAUAAAUUAAGAUGUGAAUCCAUAUAUUAAUCAUAUUAAAAAAACAAAUAAAUAUAUGAUUAAAACGCACAAAACUUGAAAACAAAUAAUGAAGGUUUGUUUUAAGAGUAAAGGAAUGGGCUUAGUGGGAAUCUUAAAUGACGUGCGAUUGAAAUUAUCUGUAAAGUUCAGGACGGACCCCGACAGCCAUCCUUAUCGGCUAAGGUGCUGCUUUAGCAUUAGUCAAGAAAUAGUAAUGGAACAUAUUGGUUGGUAGUAAAUAGGAAUAUAAUUCAUUUUGAUGACAUGCUACUUUUUGGCUAGCUCAAAUCAGUUUUACCUUUUCUUGUAGCUUUGUUUAGGUAUAGACAUCGAGGUCUAAUAAGUUUCAAAUCCCUCUUCUAUCAUAAUCAUUUUAGAUGCCAUAAUGUAAAAUAUAAUAUAAAAAUAUAAAAAUAAUACGAUUUAAAAUUUUAUAAAAAUUAUAUAUAAAUUUUAAAAAUAUUAAAAAAUAUUUUAUUUUUUUAUAUAUAAAUUAUGACACAUAAUUUUUAUAUAAAAUAUUAUAUAAAUAUAUAGAUUAAUAGUCAUAAAUGAGCCUUAAGUAAUUUUUCAAUCUUAUCUUCGGAAUAUGAUUUAUUUUGUUUGUAACCAAUGGCAGAUUGGGUUGGGAGCAUCUAUGGCAUAUAACAAGAGAAUAAUUGGUUAAAAGCAUCGAUAGCAUAUAUUAGCAUGCAAUUGGAGUAUGAAUAUAUGAUCUGUUUCAAUUUGACAUGGGAUCUAGGUCAUUAAAAAUAUUUAUUUUUCUAGUACAAGUGGAUCUCAUCAAAGAACAGCAAAACACAGCCAACAGAAACGAUAAUCAAAGACCAAAUUUUAUAUGCACAAGUGGAUCUCUCAUCAAAGACAACAAGAAAACUUCUGGCAUUCAGCUUUUCUAAUGUUAUUGUUUGACUUUUUAGAGCAAGUUCAGUGGUGGACAAUUGUGCAUGCGGUUUCCAGCAAGAUGACGUCAUAUUGUUUCUUUGGCUAAUUAUCAGCUGACACUUUUUAUGGCAUGUAGCCUGUAGUAAUAAAAAACCAUUUCGUCCUGCUUUCAGAAGAAGAAUAAAAAAAAAAAACCAUUUCGUCCUGUGUGGUCUUUUUAUAAUUUUACUAGACAAAAAAGGAGUUUCAUGAUUUAUAAGUGUAUUUAGUGUAUAAAAUUAUGAUAAUAUAAAAUAAAAUAAUAUUAUUAAUAAAAUUAAAUUAAAUAAUAUCAUUUUAUUUUUUGAUUGAUAUGUUUAAAGAUUAUGACAAAAUAAUUUUAUUUAUUUAUUAAAAUUAUCUAUUUUUAAAGUUUAUAUAAUUUAAAUUAUUAAUAUAAUUUUGUAAAAAUAUAAUAAGACAUGUAAAUUUAAUUUAAUGGAUUAAAAAUAAUUUUUUUUAUUUUAAGAGAGUUAAUUCAUCUUAUAUCAAAAAAAUAAUUAAUCUUUUUCUCAAUUUUAUCAUUUUUUAAGAUACUAAAAAAAUAUAACAUAAAAUAAUUAUCGUUAAAUCUUAUCUAUUAUCUUAUGUAUAAAAGAAAUUAUAUGUACUAUUUUAAAUAUUAAUAAUAUAUAAAUGGAUAAUAAGAGUUGAUUUUAAAAUUAAAAAUUUCAUUAUUGAAUCUCAAUGGUAAUCUAAAGCAACAAAAAAUAUAUAUAGAGAUGGAUAAUGGAUUCGAGUAUGUUUAUUUCAGACCUCAUUGAUUGCCCAAUUACGUAGAAAAGAUAUAUAAAAGCUGCUUUCUUUUCUAUCUCGAUGGCCCAGUUAAAAGCCUGGCACGUACUUGGGUUUGGUUUGGGCCUCUCGUGUAACGGAUUUAAAAUUUAAAAAUCCUUGUUUAUAGUGGAACCUGCAUUGGGAAGAGCCAACAAAGCCCGUCUAGCUCAGUCGGUAGAGCGCAAGGCUCUUAACCUUGUGGUCGUGGGUUCGAGCCCCACGGUGGGCGCGCCUUCAUUUUUAGCCUGGGCAUAUUCUACGGCUAUGGGGGUGCUCUUUGUACUUAAGAAAAGUAAAGAGUAGGUGUCUGAUAGCAGCUUCAGCUAUGGGCUAUGGCAACAUCAGAUUAUGUCUCUGUCUUGGUGUUCCCGUUCCACUUCCAAGGCAUUAACCGAUUAAAAGUGUUGUUUCAUGCCACGUUCCCAAAUCGUCGUGAUGAAUACUUUUCUUCCCUUUUUUGUCAUAUAAAAAAAAGACAAAGAAAAGUUUAUCCAUUUCAGUUUUGAGCUUAAUCUGUUCUGCUAUAGCAUUUUUUAACGGUAGAUGUGGAUGCCACAGAUCAUCCACUUGAUCUAAUUUCAUCUAUAAAAAUAAUAUAAUUUAAAAUUUUAAUAAAAAUUAUAAAUAAUUUUAACAAAAUAAAAAAAUUUAUAUUAACACAACUUAUAAUAUAUAAUUUUUAUAUAAAACACAAUAUAAAUAUAUAAAAUUUUAAUAUUUUACAUAACAUCGUUACACAAAUUACUGUAUUUACUUUAAAAUAAAAACAGUUCAUAAAACUGCAAAUGGAUACUGCAUAAAAGCAGGUCCAACUUGAGAAGUCAAACUCAACGAUGCAUGUUAACUAUACGGAACCACCUUUUUUUUUUAACCAUAUGUUAUUGAAUGUUGCAAAUCAAUACACUCAAUGUUCAGGGGGAAAGAACUUGUAAAGUGGAUACAGGUAAUGAAAUUGCAUUGAAUCUGGUCCAGUUUAUUUUGUCAAACUUAGCCGAUUCAACACCAACCAUCCAACCCUUUUUGAUGGAUUCGUUGUCAACUAUCAACCAAUGGUAGAUCAGUCGCAGUUGGGCUUUACCACGUGCCGAAAAUUUAACACCAAAUUGAACGACGUCGUUUUCGCUCCCAGUCAUACCGUACGGUCAAAUCGCUCAAAUACAAAGAACUUGGAGAAGAGAAGCUUCUUGCCAUUGAGAGUCGAGUUUGGCACUUGAAGCUCGAAAUUUUAGGUAUUGACAUAUGGAAUAGCUAUAUUUGGCAAACGAACAAUAAAUUUGGUUGAAUUUUAAAGCACUAUCACAUUAUUCAAAAUUAUUCUAGUUCAUACAUCAACUUUUUAGAUUAGAAAAUAGUGGUCGGCACCUCUAGAACCUCACAAGUUCUCAAAAAAAAAAAAAUUUGAUGACAAAUUUGGACUAUUGACUUUUUCAUGCCUUGUCAAAUGGUCAUCGAACAUGUAAGAUGUUUCCUAAAUUACAUGUACAUGUGUGAUCACUUUAUAUGUCAUCAGCCCAUUCUUGUUUGACAAAUUUUGUUAAAUUUUCUCAUGGUAAGCCAGAUUAAGGUUCCAUUUGGAUCUCUGUUUUUGGUCAAUGCGAUGUGGUUAGAGGAGAUAACCUCACUUUUAUGGCAUUUGGAUAACAAAAGAAUGGUCUAGUAGAGAUAUAUUUAAUGUAUUGUACCCACAAUUCGUAAUUGGAGCUUUAAAGUUAGUGUUGACAUCGGGUCGAAUUCGAGACAAAUUUUGCUCGCUCUGAACUCGAUUCUAUUCAAAAAAUUUUUAUUUUUUCAUAUCCGAAUCUGAUUCCGAUUCGAUACUAUAUAAAUUGUACUCGAUUCAAUCUAAAAUUAAUAAAAUAUUAUUUUUUAAAUAUAAAUAUUUAAAAAUAUUAUUAAAUAAAUAUAUAAAUAAUUAAUUAAAAAUAAUUUUUACAUAAUAUCGGGUCGGGUCGAGUUUGCCUAAAACCUGAAUCCAAUUGUUUUAUAAGCUUACCCGACUCGAUCCGAAACUUGAAUUUUGAAAAUAAAAAUCAACCCCGUAAGAUCGGAUCGGGUCAGAACCCAUCGGUGAUAAGUUAAAUUACCGAUCAUAUUUAAAGUCCAGUAGAAAACCAUUGUUUCCAUCGAAGCAUGCCUUUCCCCUUUUAACCCUGAUUUUUUUUGUAAUUUUAUAAAUAUUUUCAAUUAUUUAUUUAUUUAAAGUGAUAAAUAAACUUAUAUAGUUAUAUAAUAAACAACUAAAUAACAAAAAAUUUAAGUAAAUACACAAAUAAAUAUAUUUAUACAUAUAACUAAUUAUAUAAAAUAAUUUUAUAAUAUAAUUGAUUAUGUAAUAAAUAAUUAUAAUAUUAUAAUACAUAACUACAAAACGUAAAAACAUAAUAUAUUAUAAAUUUUAAAAUUUUUAAUUAUUUAUUAAUUUUAUAAAUAUUAAAUAUAUACGAUAAAUUUCAUUACACAUAAAUUUUAAUUUAAUAUUUUUAAUUGUUAUUUUUUUACUAUACUUCACCUUGUUACUACAAUUGUGUUUACAUUUAAACAUAAAUUUUAUUAUUCAUUUUAAUCUUAUUGCUUCAAUAUCCAAUAUUCUUGUAAUUAAUUUUAUUAUCACAGUUAUUUUUAAUUUUAUCAAAAUCAAUUUUACUAUCUAUUCAAAUGAAUCUUAAGUAAUAAAAUGAAGCACUUGGACACUGCUUCUAUGUCAUCUUAAUUAAUUAUGUACUAAUAGCAUAUUCUUUAAUCAAUAAGUAGUUUGUCAAAUCUAAUUAGUUAUAUCUUAUCAACUUAUAAAAUGAGUUAACAUUGUUGUCUGAGAUUUUAUUUUGUAAAAUAUUAAAUUCUUAAUUUUUGUAAUUUAAAAUUUAAAUUUUAACAAUCUCAAAUAGAUGGACGGCCACAGAUACAUCUAUCAAAGGAGGCCUAUCUAUAUCUAUUUAGAACUUUGGUUGAUAGAGAAAAUUCAGUUUCAUAUAUAAGCAUAGAGUGUUAUUAAUACAUUCUUACAAGACUUUGUCAAAGAAAACCCUCGCUUUCAUAAGCUGAGCCAUGACUGUUCCACGCGGUUAUACAGUUGCCUUUCAGUUCAGACACUAGUUGACUUCGUCAAAAUUUUUUUUUAAUUUAUUAGUAUUUCGUAACCUCUCCUGUGCCUGCAUGCACCAAAGUAUAGAAGAAGAAAUAAAAUUAAAGAAUUUAAUUAGUGUAUGCAAGCAUCCCUUCCCUUACGCGAAGUGGCUUCAUUUUCCCUAUAUUUAGUUAAAACCCAAGUUUUGCCAUCCAGAAGUACACAUUUUGCACUAAUUAAGGCUAAAAAUAAGCAUAUUGUUUAAUUUGUGUAGUUUUAUAAUUCGCUUUCUUUUGACAGAACAUUCUCUUGGGGAAAAAAAAAAAGGAAUUAGAAACAAUGUGCCAACUGAUCAAAUUCGAGUGAUCACCAAAUUCCUUUAGAUCAGGUUUUAUGGAAGAGCAAAUGGCAAAAGAUUACGUACUUGGUUAAACAAUCUGAAGAACCAAGUUUAACUAUCUCUUAUUUUGGGUGUGAAAAGAUGAAGAUGAAGUACUUUAAUUAAUGCCAGAUUGCCAAUAGCAGGAGACUGAUGAUGAUGUGGUCAGCACAACUUUUGAAUGUGCAAAUUGCUUUGUUUACUUGCUUGGGGGUUACUUGGACAACACGCAUGACAAUGCCUUGGCCUGGUAGUUUUCUUGAACUGGGAAAGAUCUCUAAGACAAAUCAAAUUCAAUGGUGUUUUUGUACUUGAGGAAGAAGGUUCCUGGAAAUUUACAUUAACCGUAGCAGAAGUUUUGAUUGUUAAAAACUGGAGAAGGUUGGAGAUGGUUUCCAUUCCAUUCCUCCUGUUGUACCAUUCAAAGCCAGACAAAUUCAAAUGCUAAAUCUUGUAAAAGAAAAAAAACGUGUAGUACUCAAGAGCAAUGAAGAUUCGCAUGCAUUGUACAUUUGAUAGCUAUAUUUGGGUACAAUUUGGGUUUCCUUGUCGUUUGUUUCAUAUCCUGUUGUAUAUAUGAAAAGUACAUAUAUGAUUAAUUAAUAAAUAAUACUAUCAGCUUGUUCUGUUGAGAUGGAAAAUCAAGCUAUGUGUUUUGCUGUACAAACAAAAAUAUAAAAUCAACACCUAAAUAAUGACACAUGGAAGACAGCAAAACAAGCAAACCCCACCCCGGCCCUUUCCUUAUUUGUAAUUACAUACACGCAGCAGUAAGACUUCACAAUUGGUGUAGACAAAAUGGUGGCAUUCACAGAGAAAAAAUCCUAAACAACCAAAGGAAUCGAAUCAUUACCCCAACCAUUAUUCAUUAAAUACAUAUAAUACAGCCAAUAAUAAGAAGAUAGUGGCAGUUAUAAGAAAAAAAAAAUGAAGAGAAGAAGAAAAGGAGGUUCCCUUGAGCAAAAGCCACCUGUACUCCUAAUCACUUUCCCACACGAAAACGGAGUGCCAAAAUAACAAAUAAAACUCCCCAACAGCCCCACUGCCCCAGCUCUCCAUGCCUAUCUUCUUAUUCCCCACAACCAAACUAUAAUUAAGAACACUUUUCGGCCAACAAAACAAUAAAACUUGCAACAUGCACGUGAUCCUUUAGCCUGUAACUUGUUUUUGCUACUGUAACUAUUCCUACCUGUUAAAAACCCCCGUCCCUUUCAUGCGCCAAACUGAAGCGUCAACAGCCUCUGCCAGCCACCAUCAACUACAGCUCUUUUGUCGGCGCACGUUAAGCAAGCGCAUGUUAGUGUAAAGGUAUGAAAAUUGUACACCAGUGAGCGGCAGAUAAAUACUAAGUAGUGGGGUAUUGAACUAAGAGGAAUUAAAAUAAUUGAAUCGAUUAAUUAAAAAGAACAGCAGCAAUUGAGACUGAAUAUCAAUUGUUUAAGUGGUAUGUACAGAAAAAAGAAUUCGUCUCACCAAACCAAAAGAAAAGAAAAAAAGAAGAAUACAUUCGAAUCCGGCCUAAAAUUUAAUUCCUACAAAUAUUAAAAAAAAGGGUUCUCAUUGUUUAGUUGACUUCAAUUUUCGGUGACAUCCAGAAACGUGGCUUCUUAGAAGGGUGUGGGCUUUCCACUUCAUCAUCACCGCCGGAAACAAAGAAAGCUGGUGAGAAUUCUGGCAAAGCCGGCAGGUUAAGGUCAAAGUCCUGGUGGUUGAUGUGGCUCAUGGUGAUGGUAGAGCCCACUCCUUCAGAUGUGGUCACGCCGCUAGCGCUAUUCCCAGCUCUACCUUCAUAGUGGCAUCGCUUGUGGCCUCCCAAGGCCUGGCCUGUGGGGAAGCUUUUGUGGCAGAUGGAACACUCGUGGGACCUACCGCUUGGAUUCGAUGCGGCUGAAGUGACUCUACCGGCGGUCGCAGAGGUGGUUGUUGAUGUUGACUGGUCAUCGUUACCGCCUGAAAGCUUACGGUGGCUGGCUUUGUGGCCACCUAAAGCCUGGUAAGAGUUAAAGGCCUUGUUGC